AGUCAAAGUCUCAGUGGUUAGAGCGUAGGUCUCGUAAGCGAGAGGUUGCGGGAUCGAAUCCCGCUAGAGGCUG
rnacentral:tRNA from 1 species